AACGCUGGCGGCGUGCCUAAUACAUGCAAGUCGAACGAGAGUGCUUGCACUCUAGUGGCGAACGGGUGAGUAACACGUAGGUAACCUACCCCAAAGAUGAGGAUAACAGUUGGAAACGAUUGCUAAUACUCAAUAGUUAAUAGGAAGGCAUCUUCUUAUUAUUAAAGAUCCGUAUGGAUUACUUUGGGAGGGACCUGCGUCGCAUUAGCUAGUUGGUGAGGUAGUAGCUCACCAAGGCGAUGAUGCGUAGCCGGACUGAGAGGUUGAACGGCCACACUGGGACUGAGACACGGCCCAGACUCCUACGGGAGGCAGCAGUAGGGAAUUUUCGGCAAUGGGGGAAACCCUGACCGAGCAACGCCGCGUGAAUGAAGAAGCACUUAGGUGCGUAAAAUUCUUUUAUUAGGGAAGAAUAGCUAGUAUAGGAAAUGAUAUUAGUGUGACGGUACCUAAUGAAUAAGCCCCGGCUAACUAUGUGCCAGCAGCCGCGGUAAUACAUAGGGGGCAAGCGUUAUCCGGAAUUAUUGGGCGUAAAGGGUGAGUAGGCGGCUACUUAAGUUUGAGGUAUAAGCACAGUGCUUAACGCUGUGAGGCUUUGAAAACUGGGUAGCUAGAGUUAGAUAGAGGCAAGUGGAAUUCCAUGUGUAGCGGUAAAAUGCGUAAAUAUAUGGAGGAACACCAGUGGCGAAGGCGGCUUGCUGGGUCUAUACUGACGCUGAGGCACGAAAGCGUGGGGAGCAAACAGGAUUAGAUACCCUGGUAGUCCACGCCGUAAACGAUGAGUACUAAGUGUCGGAAGAAUUCGGUGCUGUAGUUAACGCAAUAAGUACUCCGCCUGAGUAGUACGUACGCAAGUAUGAAACUCAAAGGAAUUGACGGGACCCCGCACAAGCGGUGGAUCAUGUUGUUUAAUUCGAAGAUACGCGAAGAACCUUACCAGGUCUUGACAUCCCCUGCAAAGCUAUGGAGACAUAGUGGAGGUUAUCAGGGUGACAGGUGGUGCAUGGUUGUCGUCAGCUCGUGUCGUGAGAUGUUCGGUUAAGUCCGGUAACGAGCGCAACCCUCGUUGUUAGUUGCCAUCAUUAAGUUGGGGACUCUAACAAGACUGCCAGUGAUAAACUGGAGGAAGGUGGGGAUGACGUCAAAUCAUCAUGCCCCUUAUGACCUGGGCUACAAACGUGAUACAAUGGCUGAAACAAAGGGAAGCGAAAGGGUGACCUGGAGCAAAACUCAUAAAAACAGUCUCAGUUCGGAUUGAAGUCUGCAACUCGACUUCAUGAAGCUGGAAUCGCUAGUAAUCGCGAAUCAGAACGUCGCGGUGAAUACGUUCUCGGGGUUUGUACACACCGCCCGUCAAACCACGAAAGUCAGCAAUACCCAAAACCGGUGGCCUAACCUGCAAAGGAGGGAGCCGUCUAAGGUAGGGUUGAUGAUUGGGGUUAAGUCGUAACAAGGUAUCCCUACCGGAAGGUGGGGAUGGAUCACCUCCUUUCUAAGGAGCAUAACAGUAAGAAUAACUUACAAAAACUCUACUCUCUCGUCAUAUUCAGUUUUGAAGGAUUUUCCUUC
rnacentral:rRNA from 2 species